rnacentral:rRNA from 1 species
UACAGAGGUCUCAAGCGUUGUUCGGAUUCAUUGGGCUUAAAGGGUGCGUGGGUGGCGGGGUAAGUCGGGUGUGAAAUUUCGGAGCUCAACUCCGAAACUGCAUUUGAUACUGCCUUGCUUGAGGACUGGAGAGGAGACUGGAAUUCACGGUGUAGCAGUGAAAUGCGUAGAGAUCGUGAGGAAGACCAGUGGCGAAGGCGGGUCUCUGGACAGUUCCUGACACUGAGGCACGAAGGCCAGGGGAGCAAACGGG